AGUAAAGAGAGCAAUUAAGAAAAAUAAGGACAUUGCUGAGAAGCUAAAUGAUUUCUUUUAAUCAUGCUACAUCACAGAGGAUGUUGGGAAGAGACCUGCUCCUUUCUGGUAAAGAAUCAAAAAGUUCAACGCAGUAAAGCUAUUCCACAGUUGAUACUCCAGCCUCACCUCUCCAGUAACCCUAAGAAAGGACUGCUUUCAUCAUCCAUCAGUUUAAGUCUUUGCUCCUGAGGGCAUUCUGUGCCAAAAAAUUUAAAAAUUCUCUGC